rnacentral:rRNA from 1 species
CAUGUCCUUUUGAUUAUAAUUUAAGGUUUAACCUGCUCAAUGAUUUUUAAUAAAUAGCCGCAGUAUUUUGACUGUGCAAAGGUAGCAUAAUAAUUAGUUUCUUAAUUAGAAACUGGAAUGAAUGGUUGGACAAGAAAAUCACUGUCUCUUUUUUAAUAUUUUUGAAUUUUAUUUUUAAGUGAAAAAGCUUAAAUUUUUAUAAAAGACGAGAAGACCCUAUAGAAUUUGAUAUUUUUUUAAAUUAGGUAAAUAGUAGUAUUAAUUGUUAGAAAAUAUUUGGUUGGGGUGACUAGAAGAAGUGAUUAUUUCUUUUAAAAUUUAAUUGAUAAUUUUUAAUUUAACAAUCUAAAAUUUUUAAAAUUAAAAUAAAUUACCUUAGGGAUAACAGCGUUAUUUUUCUUUAAAGUUCUUAUUAAAAGGAAAGUUUGCGACCUCGAUGUUGGAUUAAAAUUAAUUUUUGGUGCAGUAACUUAAAAAUUAGGUCUGUUCGACCUUUAAAAUUUUACAUGAUCUGAGUUUAAACCGGUGUGAGCCAGGUUGGAUUCUAUCUUUAGAUUUUUUUUUUAUAUUUUAGUACGAAAGGACCAAAUAUAGAUUAUAAUUAAUUG